rnacentral:rRNA from 1 species
GGUUAAGCGACUAAGCGUACACGGUGGAUGCCCUGGCAGUCAGAGGCGAUGAAGGACGUGCUAAUCUGCGAAAAGCGUCGGUAAGGUGAUAUGAACCGUUAUAGCCGGCGAUGUCCGAAUGGGGAAACCCAGUGUGAUUCGUCACACUAUCGUUAACUGAAUACAUAGGUUAACGAGGCGAACCGGGGGAACUGAAACAUCUAAGUACCCCGAGGAAAAGAAAUCAACCGAGAUUCCCCCAGUAGCGGCGAGCGAACGGGGAGCAGCCCAGAGUCUGAAUCAGCUUGUGUGUUAGUGGAACGGUCUGGAAAGUCCGACGGUACAGGGUGAUAGUCCCGUACACCAAAAUGCACAAGCUGUGAACUCGAAGAGUAGGGCGGGACACGUGGUAUCCUGUCUGAAUAUGGGGGGACCAUCCUCCAAGGCUAAAUACUCCUGACUGACCGAUAGUGAACCAGUACCGUGAGGGAAAGGCGAAAAGA